ensembl:lincRNA
UGCUCACGGGUCUGCAGACACGUCUCCGUCUCCAGCCAAUCAGGCGUCGAUGCAAUGUCUGUUUCAGCGUGUAGGCACAUUCUUUCGAGGGCGCAUGCGUGAAAGCCGCCAUGUCUUCUCCUGCGGGCCCAAUUUUGAUCCACAUUCUUUUGUAAGAGCGACCCUUGUCAUCCAGGUGGUCAAGAGCAGUGCCCAUCACUGAUCCCGUAGCAGUUUCUGCGGGUGAAAAAGAAAGGCUGGCUGGUGUCAUACUAGGCCGUCUUCACUUCGCUCCAAGUAUUCAAGCACGGUUAUAUUGAAGAAGAUAUUCCAAAACUACCCUCCUCUCUCCUCCCACCUUCAAGUCCUUUCCUGUUCUGCGAGCUGGAACCUAGAAGGGGUGGAUUCUCUACUGUCUGAGCCAUGAAGCUCAUGGAAAUGCCUGCUCUCCUGGCCCAGCUGCUGCAGGAGUCAAUGUACCAGGAGAAGCAGCUUCUCCUCCAGUGUUUUGGAGAGUGUUCCUGCUCAGUGAGCUGUGUCUGCAAGAUGCUUGUCUUCUUUUCUGAAGUCAGGAUAGAGGCAGAUUUAUGGGAGUUAAAAUGGCACCUGUGACUCAUAAACCAGGGUUCACAGCAUGGAAGGAUUAAAGUUCUUCUUUUCCAUGUUUAAGCUGAUGAUGUUUUGUUCUUGAGUCAGGAACCUCUGCUGCCCUGCAAAACCUCCUAUAAAAUCCUUGAUGGUUGUUAAGUCUCCCUGGAAGUUCUUUCUUCUGUCCUCAGUUCUGCAGCCGUGUCUUUACUCUGAGUAAUGGUUUAGUAGGAUCAUUCCCUUUCUUAUUCAGCAAUUUUAAUUUUGCCCCCCCUUUUUGUGAAAUUUCUGCAACAACUGCAGAUACAACCUGAACACUGGUCUCCUAUGUUAUAGAAAUGUAGAUGUCAAGUUCUGCUAUCAAAAGGAGCAAGCCUAUAGACAGAUCCUGGAUAGCUGGGUGCAGGGUUAUUACUGAAAAUAUGAGCUCACUACUGACUCUAAUGGAUUCUUAGCCUUGCUUUGUUCCUGGGUUUUCGUCAUGAUCUUAAUAACCAUCAUGUGAUGAUAUUACUUUAGAGGAGGAAAAGAGGACUUUUCAAAAUUGUGAGCAAAGUCAGUGUCAGAAUCUCUUGUUAUUGACCCUGUCAUCUUUCUACAAUCAGAAACAGCUCCAGUAUCUUACUCUUUAAUAGUUUCAUUCUGUUUAAGCACAACCUUGAGAAUCUCUCUUUGCCUCCAAGCCGGAAGCUAUGGAGGAUUGCUUAGGUUUCCAGUGUUGCUCAGGUAUGGUAGGAAGGCUGGUAUCAUGGUGAUAUUGGCAGAAGGGGCAAAUUGAACUCAUUUAAUAUGUAAGAUGGUUUGCACCUUGGAUUGAGGAUGGUAUGUUUUAAAAUGGAUAAAUGUAUGGGUGAACCUAUGGUUGAUUUGUGUUGGUGUUUGGUAGAAACCAACAUAGUACUGUAAAGCAAUUAUCCUUCAAUUAAAAAUAAAUAAAUUAAAAAAACUUGGAAAUGGAGCUGAAAACACUCACAAAUACAGUUGUCAAAUAUUGAAGUAGAAAAUUCUAACAUGC